UACAGAGGGUGCGAGCGUUAAUCGGAAUUACUGGGCGUAAAGCGUGCGUAGACGGUUAUGUAAGUCGGGUGUGAAAGCCCCGGGCUCAACCUGGGAAUUGCAUUCGAGACUGUGUAGCUAGGGUACGGAAGAGGGAAGCGGAAUUUCAGGUGUAGCGGUGAAAUGCGUAGAUAUCUGAAGGAACACCAGUGGCGAAAGCGGCUUCCUGGUCCAGUACCGACGUCAGGCACGAAAGCGUGGGGAGCAAGCAGGA
rnacentral:rRNA from 1 species